GAGUUUGAUCCUGGCUCAGAACGAACGCUGGCGGCAGGCCUAACACAUGCAAGUCGAGCGCUACCUUCGGGUGGAGCGGCGGACGGGUUAGUAACGCGUGGGAAUAUACCCAGUUCUAAGGAAUAGCCACUGGAAACGGUGAGUAAUACCUUAUACGCCCUUCGGGGGAAAGAUUUAUCGGAAUUGGAUUAGCCCGCGUUAGAUUAGAUAGUUGGUGGGGUAAUGGCCUACCAAGUCUACGAUCUAUAGCUGGUUUGAGAGGAUGAUCAGCAACACUGGGACUGAGACGCGGCCCAGACUCCUACGGGAGGCAGCAGUGGGGAAUCUUAGACAAUGGGCGCAAGCCUGAUCUAGCCAUGCCGCGUGAGUGAUGAAGGCCCUAGGGUCGUAAAGCUCUUUCAACUGUGAAGAUAAUGACGGUAGCAGUAGAAGAAACCCCGGCUAACUCCGUGCCAGCAGCCGCGGUAAUACGGAGGGGGUUAGCGUUGUUCGGAAUUACUGGGCGUAAAGCGUACGUAGGCGGAUUAAUAAGUUAGAGGUGAAAUCCCAGGGCUCAACCCUGGAACUGCCUUUAAAACUGUUAGUCUUGAGAUCGAGAGAGGUGAGUGGAAUUCCAAGUGUAGAGGUGAAAUUCGUAGAUAUUUGGAGGAACACCAGUGGCGAAGGCGGCUCACUGGCUCGAUACUGACGCUGAGGUACGAAAGUGUGGGGAGCAAACAGGAUUAGAUACCCUGGUAGUCCACACCGUAAACGAUGAAUGCCAGACGUCAGCAAGCAUGCUUGUUGGUGUCACACCUAACGGAUUAAGCAUUCCGCCUGGGGAGUACGGUCGCAAGAUUAAAACUCAAAGGAAUUGACGGGGGCCCGCACAAGCGGUGGAGCAUGUGGUUUAAUUCGACGCAACGCGCAGAACCUUACCAACCCUUGACAUACUUGUCGCGGAUUCCAGAGAUGGAUUCCUUCAGUUCGGCUGGACAAUGUACAGGUGCUGCAUGGCUGUCGUCAGCUCGUGUCGUGAGAUGUUCGGUUAAGUCCGGCAACGAGCGCAACCCACGUCCUUAGUUACCAGCAUUUAGUUGGGUACCCUAAGGAGACUGCCGGUGAUAAGCCGGAGGAAGGUGUGGACGACGUCAAGUCAUCAUGGCCCUUACGGGUUGGGCUACACACGUGCUACAAUGGCAUCUACAGUGAGUUAAUCUCCAAAAGAUGUCUCAGUUCGGAUUGGGGUCUGCAACUCGACCCCAUGAAGUUGGAAUCGCUAGUAAUCGCGGAACAGCAUGCCGCGGUGAAUACGUUCCCGGGCCUUGUACACACCGCCCGUCACACCAUGGGAAUUGGGUCUACCCGAAGGUGGUGCGCCAACUAUUUAUAGGGGCAGCCAACCACGGUAGGUUCAGUGACUGGGGUGAAGUCGUAACAAGGUAACC
rnacentral:rRNA from 1 species